UACAGAGGGGGCGAGCGUUGUUCGGAAUUACUGGGCGUAAAGGGCGCGUAGGCGGCCCGCUAAGUCGAACGUGAAAUCCCCAGGCUCAACCUGGGAACUGCGUCCGAUACUGGCAGGCUUGAAUCCGGGAGAGGGAUGUGGAAUUCCAGGUGUAGCGGUGAAAUGCGUAGAUAUCUGGAGGAACACCGGUGGCGAAGGCGGCAUCCUGGGACCCAUAACUGACGCUGAGGCGCGAAAGCUAGGG
rnacentral:rRNA from 1 species